rnacentral:rRNA from 1 species
GAGAGUGGGUAGUCCGCACGAGCGCACCUUACUUUUAGUUGCUACCAUUUAGUUGGGCACUCUAGAAGAACUGCCGGUGAUAAGCUGGAGGAAGGUGGGGAUGACGUCAAGUCCUCAUGGCCCUUAUGUGUUGGGCUACACACGUGCUACAAUGGUAUUUACAGUGGGAUGCAAAGAGGCAACUCCUAGCCAACCCUUAAAGAAUACCUCAGUUCGGAUUGUACUCUGCAACUCGAGUACAUGAAGCUGGAAUUACUAGUAAUCGCGGAUCAGCGCGCCGCGGUGAAUACGUUCCCGGGUCUUGUACACACCGCCCGUCACACCAUGGAAGUUGGUUACACCUUAAGGCAAAGUGUAAAACCUUUGACUACGGUACGAUCAGCGACUGGGGUGAAGUCGUAACAAGGUAGCCGUAGGGGAACCUGCGGCUGGAUCACCUCCUUUCC